rnacentral:rRNA from 1 species
GAUGAACGCUAGCUANAGGCUUAACACAUGCAAGUCGAGGGGCAGCACAGUGUAGCAAUACACGGGUGGCGACCGGCGCACGGGUGCGUAACGCGUAUCCAACCUUCCCGUUACUCUUGGAUAGCCUUCCGAAAGGGAGAUUAAUACAAGAUGGUAUUCAAAUUCCGCAUGUUAUUUGAACUAAAGAUUUAUCGGUAACGGAUAGGGAUGCGUGACAUUAGAUAGUAGGCGGGGUAACGGCCCACCUAGUCUACGAUGUCUAGGGGUUCUGAGAGGAAGGUCCCCCACACUGGAACUGAGACACGGUCCAGACUCCUACGGGAGGCAGCAGUGAGGAAUAUUGGUCAAUGGUCGGAAGACUGAACCAGCCAAGUAGCGUGAAGGAUGAAGGUUCUAUGGAUUGUAAACUUCUUUUAUACGGGAAUAAAACCACCUACGUGUAGGUGCUUGUAUGUACCGUAUGAAUAAGCAUCGGCUAACUCCGUG